AUCUACAGCCACACCACCCUGAACAUGCCCGAUCUUGUCUGAUCUCAGAAGCUAAGCAGGGUCAGGCCUGGUUAGUACUUGGAUGGGAGGUAUACACAAAUCUUUUUGUAUGAGUGUUUUUGGUUAUUUAAGAUA
ensembl:rRNA 5S_rRNA 5S ribosomal RNA